AGUAACACGUGACCAACCUACCACCAGGUGGGGGACAACCCGGGGAAACCUGGGCUAAUACCGCAUUACGUCCGGACCUCGCAUGGGGACCGGACCAAAGAUGGCCUCUGCUUGCAAGCUAUCACCUGGUGAGGGGGUCGCGGCGUAUCAGCUUGUUGGUGAGGUAAUGGCUCACCAAGGCUACGACGCGUAGCGGGUCUGAGAGGACGACCCGUCACAUUGGGACUGAGAUACGGCCCAG
rnacentral:rRNA from 1 species